AUAUCGUGCAAAAAUUCAUUUAUUUCAGUAAUGCAAUAUAAAAAGGGAAACUAAUAUAUGAGAUAGACGCAUUACAUGCAAAGCAAGAUAGUUCAAGCCGUGAUUUGUCAUAAGCUCAAUGAUUAUGGCUUACAGAGAGUGGGGAAGAGAAGGGACAGGCACAGGGCCCCCCUCCAUUCCCUACCUAUUAGUGAAGAUCCGUUCGGCAGAGUAGCUGUUGACAUUAUAGUUGAGCAGGCACUUUGUUUACUUUAGAGAACCUUGGGCCAAUCGAACGUCCGCGUGACUGCGACUUUGCAUUCGGAUGUCAUCCAUAUCAACUUUCGAUGCCAGUUUCUGCGCCUACCAUGGUGACCACGGGGAAUCAGGGUUGGAUUAUGGAGAUGGAAUCUUAGAAACGGCUACCACAUGCAAGGAAGGCAGCAGGCGCGCAAAUUACCCACUCCCGACGCGGGAAGGUAGUGACGUCAAAUAACAAUACAGGACUCUUUAGAGGCACUGUAAUUGUAAUGAGUCCACUUGAAAUCCUUUAACUCUGAUCAAUUGAAGGGCAAGUCUGGUGCAGAGCGACUGACCCCUGCGUGCUGCAGUUGAAACUACACUAUCGCCUGCUGCUG